UGAAUUAGGACGUUGGGAGUUACCAGUGAGGCGGCGGACGGGGUGGAGUAACAACGUGGGCGAACCUGCCCCGUGGAAGCGGGGGAGUAACAAUCUGGAAACAGGUUGCUAAUACCGCAUAACAACGAAAACCACAUGGUUUUCGUUUCAAAGAUGGUUUCGGUCUAUCACUUCAGGAUGGGCCCGCGGUGCAUUAGCUAGUUGGUAAGGUAACGGCUUACCAAGGCAAUGAUGCAUAGCCGAGUUGAGAGACUGAUCGGCCACAAUGGAACUGAGACACGGUCCAUACUCCUACGGGAGGCAGCAGUAGGGAAUCUUCCACAAUGGGCGCAAGCCUGAUGGAGCAACACCGCGUGAGUGAAGAAGGGUUUCGGCUCGUAAAGCUCUGUUGUUGGAGAAGAACGUGCGUGAGAGUAACUGUUCACGCAGUGACGGUAUCCAACCAGAAAGUCACGGCUAACUACGUGCC
rnacentral:rRNA from 1 species